AGUGAACGCUGGCGGUAGGCCUAACACAUGCAAGUCGAACGGCAGCACAGUAAGAGCUUGCUCUUACGGGUGGCGAGUGGCGGACGGGUGAGGAAUACAUCGGAAUCUACUUUUUCGUGGGGGAUAACGUAGGGAAACUUACGCUAAUACCGCAUACGACCUACGGGUGAAAGCAGGGGAUCUUCGGACCUUGCGCGAUUGAAUGAGCCGAUGUCGGAUUAGCUAGUUGGCGGGGUAAAGGCCCACCAAGGCGACGAUCCGUAGCUGGUCUGAGAGGAUGAUCAGCCACACUGGAACUGAGACACGGUCCAGACUCCUACGGGAGGCAGCAGUGGGGAAUAUUGGACAAUGGGCGCAAGCCUGAUCCAGCCAUACUGCGUGGGUGAAGAAGGCCUUCGGGUUGUAAAGCCCUUUUGUUGGGAAAGAAAAGCAGCAGGUUAAUACCCCGCUGUUCUGACGGUACCCAAAGAAUAAGCACCGGCUAACUUCGU
rnacentral:rRNA from 1 species